GCCGCCUUAGCUCAGUGGUAGAGCAUCGGUAUCGUAAACCGAGGGUCCCGGGUUCAAAUCCCGGAGGCGGCUCCA
rnacentral:tRNA from 1 species